rnacentral:lncRNA from 1 species
AUAUACAAAUUGAAUAUUCAUUUUCCUGUUCAAAACCAGUGCUGAGAAAACUUAGUUAAGGUAACUGGCAUGCAUAAAUAAUUUUAGCAUCUAUCUUGGAUGAAUUUGCCAACCGAGUUCCUCUUGUAUUCAUUAAACUGACAAUUAUACAAAAAGUUAUUGUCAGUGCAUAAUAAACUAUUACAUCCUACAACUGGUUUUUACAUUACCUAAAAUAGAUUUCCUUACUUUGGCUAAAAAGUGUUGCCUAGCCACAGAAAAGAAAAGGAAUUGAUGAUCCCUCUAUGAUAUUACAAAAUGGAUCGUCAGCCACUUUUAACGAUCUCCAAAAAAAAAAGAGUCGUGUACAAAAAUUAUGACCACUGGUUAUUUAAUACUCAGAAAUUAUUGUAACAUAUGUGAAUUAAAAAUGAAUAAGUAUGAGGCGGUUAAGAAGUUAGUAAAAGCAAAAGAAUAAGCUAGAAACAGAGGAAACAUAUGCACGUGUAACAAAGAGUGAGAGAGAAGCU